UCAUUUUCAACUUUGCUUAAAUGUCAUUUAAACAUAUCCUAGAAAGGAGAUGUGGUCCAUUUUAAGAGUAAAUAAUGCAAAAUUUUGAUCCUUUUCCUUUCAGAUACCAUAAUUUUUUUUGAAUAGUUCUUCGGAUUCGAAACACGUAGGUUCCGACACCGGCGAGCUUGCUGGAUUAGUGCUUUACUUUGGGGCAUCACUAAAAUCUUCGUUGGAGAUCCAAUUCGAGCGACAUGUGUAUCUCUGGAAGAUCCAGAUUUGGCCAUUGGAAACAAAUUAAACCACUAAUGUUUGUUGUUGGUAGGUUUAUUUUGCAGCAAUUUGGGGUUAAUAUUUUAUGACAGUUAGUGUUGUAGAGGGUUGGGGGUGGAGAUUAUGAGGAAGAAAAAUGAUGGCAAGAGUUAGUUUGUGAAGAAGACAGCAUGGGCUUCCUUUGUUCUUCUCCUUUUUGGCAUACGAAGACGGAAGGGAAGGGGAGUCACAAGGAAAAUGACGAAAAGGGGGUUGGGGUUCUUGUUAUUUUUUUAUUUUCUUUUUCUUUUUAAAACUUUUAUUUAUUUAUUUAAGUUAAA
rnacentral:lncRNA from 1 species